UGGUAGAUGCACCCUGAUAACUAGCUCCCCUGGUCAGCUAAUAGCCACUGGGGGUUUUUUUU
rfam:Nostoc calcicola FACHB-389 FACHB-389_Scaffold_50, whole genome shotgun sequence.